UACGGAGGGGGCUAGCGUUGUUCGGAAUUACUGGGCGUAAAGCGCGCGUAGGCGGCUUUGUAAGUUAGAGGUGAAAGCCCGGAGCUCAACUCCGGAAUUGCCUUUAAGACUGCAUCGCUAGAAUCAUGGAGAGGUGAGUGGAAUUCCGAGUGUAGAGGUGAAAUUCGUAGAUAUUCUGAAGAACACCAGUGGCGAAGGCGACUCACUGGACAUGUAUUGACGCUGAGGUGCGAAAGCGUGGGGAGCAAACAGG
rnacentral:rRNA from 1 species